AGUGAACGCUGGCGGUAGGCCUAACACAUGCAAGUCGAACGGCAGCACAGUAAGAGCUUGCUCUUACGGGUGGCGAGUGGCGGACGGGUGAGGAAUACAUCGGAAUCUACUUUUUCGUGGGGGAUAACGUAGGGAAACUUACGCUAAUACCGCAUACGACCUACGGGUGAAAGCAGGGGAUCUUCGGACCUUGCGCGAUUGAAUGAGCCGAUGUCGGAUUAGCUAGUUGGCGGGGUAAAGGCCCACCAAGGCGACGAUCCGUAGCUGGUCUGAGAGGAUGAUCAGCCACACUGGAACUGAGACACGGUCCAGACUCCUACGGGAGGCAGCAGUGGGGAAUAUUGGACAAUGGGCGCAAGCCUGAUCCAGCCAUACCGCGUGGGUGAAGAAGGCCUUCGGGUUGUGAAGCCCUUUUGUUGGGAAAGAAAAGCAGCAGGUUAAUACCCCGCUGCUCUGACGGUACCCAAAGAAUAAGCACCGGCUAACUUCGUG
rnacentral:rRNA from 1 species